rnacentral:rRNA from 1 species
UACGUAGGCAGCAAGCGUUGUUCGGAAUUACUGGGCGUAAAGGGUGUGUAGGCGGUUCUUUAAGUUUGCUGUGAAAUCUCCCGGCUUAACCGGGAGGGUGCGGUGAAUACUGAGGGACUAGAGUACGGGAGAGGAAAGUGGAAUUCCUGGUGUAGCGGUGAAAUGCGUAGAUAUCAGGAGGAACACCGGUGGUGUAGACGGCUUUCUGGACCGUAACUGACGCUGAGACACGAAAGCGUGGGUAGCAAACAGG